AAUUUACUCCCUCCGAUCCAUAUAAAUUGUCGAAAUAUUACAUGUAUCUAAGACGUUUUUAGGCAUAGAUACAUCCAUAUUUGGGCAAAGUUGAGACAAUUAAUAUGGAUCGGAGGGAGUACCUU
rfam:Brachypodium distachyon strain Bd21 chromosome 2, whole genome shotgun sequence.